UAUAAGUUGAGUGGCUGGUCAAAUUUUAACAUUCACUAGCCAAUUUAAUGGUGGACAAAAAAGUUAAUUUUGAACACUGUUUGUCUGUUUCCCCUCU